rnacentral:lncRNA from 1 species
GCGCACCCUCGGGGCCGCUCGCGGGUUCUGCGGGGGGCGGGCGCCUGGCAGGGCAGCCACGUCACCCCUCGGCGGCUGCGCAGUGCGGGGAGGGGGCGGGGCGCGCGACCGGAUGCGGUCACCAUAGAGACGGGGACUGACGGCGAGCGGAAGAGGAAGGCGCGGGCCGGGCUGUGAGGUGGCAGCGGCUGCAGCGGCGGAACCGGCGCCUCGGCCCGGCACUGGGGACUAGACUUGGUCUUUGGUCGCCGAGAAGUAGAGCAGGGGCCCUCGUCCUGGCAGCGGUCACGUCCGAAGGACCGAAGGUCGCAGGACCCCGGUGUUGUCUCUAGCUGCUUCUCGUCCUCCCACUUUGGUUUGGCUUGGGUACCUGGGGGCCCCGGUAAAGCCAGGCACCGAAUUGCGCACACAGCCAGUGUUACUGUCAUUUGCUUCCUGUCUCCUCUCAGAAGAAAGUGGACGGCGCCAGCCUCUCAGCAGCUGGGCCUCAGAGAAGAAUUGCCCUGCAGAAUGGUUGUGCUCCUCUGAGAGGCUCAUCAGCCGUUGUGCUCCUCUGAGAGGCUCUCAGUGCUGAGUCACCGUAUCGGUCCACCUCCUGGGGGUGCGCAGAACUCUGCACCAUGCCGGCGGCUCCUGGACACCCUCGCUGGGGAGGAGGGGUUAUUCUAGCUGUGUGUUCCCUUAACUAAACUCAGGAGUAGAGUAGAAAGAGGCCCUUAACCCUUCCGCAGUGCUGGCCUUUCAAUAGCUAGUCAGCAGCUUCUUCAGUAAAUCGAAUGAGAAACACGCGCCCAGCGAGGUGCUCUUUGAAGAAGGCCUACUGAGGCAGGCUCUUGUAGUUGGGGCUGUUAUUUUGAUGGAGCAUGCGCUUUUCCCCAACUCCUUCUUUAUCAGCUGCUGCUGUCUCACCUUAGAUCCAGUCUACGGAUGUGUGUAGUUCUCCUUUUUGCAUUAGAUUUGUCAGGAUUAAGUUUGUUUCCUCCUUUUUCUGGAAGACAGACCAUAAUGCCAUUAGUGGGUGAAAUUGACUGUAAUACGUAUUGCCAUUUAGGCUGAGGGUUAAAUGUGGCACCUUGAGGACUAAAGCCCAGGCAUACGCUUCCUGGGGAUGCCGGGACUAGAAGCAGACCUUCCUUCUCUGUUGCUCUGUUGUCGACUUCACUGCCCCCAGGUUUCCUGGUUAAAACCAUAGGCUGCUACUGGCCUUGCUCUGUUGUCGACUUCACUGUCCCCAGGUUUCCUGGUUAAAACCAUAGGCCUGCUACUGGCCUGACGCCCAUCAUCCUAUCGACUGAUCCUU